CAGCCGCCGCGGUAAAACGUAGGUGGCAAGCAUUGUCCGGAAUUAUUGGGCGUAAAGCGAGCGCAGGCGGUUAGAUAAGUCUGAAGUAAAAGGCUGUGGCUUAACCAUAGUACGCUUUGGAAACUGUUUAACUUGAGUGCAAGAGGGGAGAGUGGAAUUCCAUGUGUAGCGGUGAAAUGCGUAGAUAUAUGGAGGAACACCAGUGGCGAAAGCGGCUCUCUGGUCUGUCACUGACGCCGAGGCUCGAAAGCGUGGGUAGCGAACAGGAUUAGAGACCCGUGUAGUCCCUGUCUCUUAUACC
rnacentral:rRNA from 1 species